rnacentral:rRNA from 1 species
GAUGAACGCUUGCGGCGUGCCUAAUACAUGCAAGUCGAGCGAACGGACGAGAAGCUUGCUUCUCUGAUGUUAGCGGCGGACGGGUGAGUAACACGUGGAUAACCUACCUAUAAGACUGGGAUAACUUCGGGAAACCGGAGCUAAUACCGGAUAAUAUUUUGAACCGCAUGGUUCAAAAGUGAAAGACGGUCUUGCUGUCACUUAUAGAUGGAUCCGCGCUGCAUUAGCUAGUUGGUAAGGUAACGGCUUACCAAGGCAACGAUGCAUAGCCGACCUGAGAGGGUGAUCGGCCACACUGGAACUGAGACACGGUCCAGACUCCUACGGGAGGCAGCAGUAGGGAAUCUUCCGCAAUGGGCGAAAGCCUGACGGAGCAACGCCGCGUGAGUGAUGAAGGUCUUCGGAUCGUAAAACUCUGUUAUUAGGGAAGAACAUAUGUGUAAGUAACUGUGCACAUCUUGACGGUACCUAAUCAGAAAGCCACGGCUAACUACGU